rnacentral:lncRNA from 1 species
CCUCUCUCGCGGGGCCGCCUCCGCCUCCUCCUUGCCGAGACGGGCGUGGGGCACGGGGUCGCCGCCCGGCGGGGAGCUCAUCCGGCGGCGCAGACGCCCCGCGGCUCCGGGGAGGGACUUGGCCUGGGCCCCGGCCCCGCGCUCCUCUGGGGAGGAGCCGAGAGGCUGCAGCUGGCGGCGGCGGCCCCGGGCGGGAGGGGGUCCCAGGAAGCGGCCAGGCCGGAGCCCCCCACUCGGCCGCAGCUGCUGGCCUGGCCAGAACCGAGCGCGCCCUCCCGGUCUCCGCCGCUUCCCUCUGCAAACCGCGGGCAGGAGGAGCCCUCUCCUUAGCGGGCCCGGAGCUCAGAGGCGUCGCGGGGCGCGGCCGAGGGGAGGAGGAAGGAGAGCGGGAGCGCAGCCGGCCCGGGCCCAGCCGUGACUCGUGGGGCGGCGGCUCCGCCAAUCUGUGGGCGCUGACGCGGGGGGCGGCUCCGCGGCGCUCGAUAUCUGCCCGCCCGGGACGCGGGGCGCCGAGAGGCUCGGCCAGGCGGGAGCUGCGCUCGGGGCGGCCGCUGCACCUGCCCGGGACCCCGCCGGCCGCUCCCCGCGCCCACCCCUUCCGCCCUUCGCCCCCCCCUUCCCCCCAGCCCCGGUCUCCCGGGCGCGGCGUGAGAGCAGAGCCCGGCCCGGAGGAGCCGCCCCUUCCCCGCCCGCCCGCCCGGCGCCUGGAGAGGAGCGCGCUGAGGAUCGGGACGCCUGCGGCCGCCGCCACCGCCCAGGCCCGUCGCGCCCCGGCCGGGAUGGACCCACACGCCCGAUGAGCCCCGCGCCGGCGGCUGCGAGCGCCGAGCCUCCCCCUGCUGCGGCCCCAGCCGC